rnacentral:rRNA from 1 species
AGUGAACGCUGGCGGUAGGCCUAACACAUGCAAGUCGAACGGCAGCACAGGAGAGCUUGCUCUCUAGGUGGCGAGUGGCGGACGGGUGAGGAAUACAUCGGAAUCUGCCCAGUCGUGGGGGAUAACGUAGGGAAACUUACGCUAAUACCGCAUACGACCUUCGGGUGAAAGAGGGGGAUCGCAAGACCUCUCGCGAUUGGAUGAGCCGAUGUCGGAUUAGCUAGUUAGCGGGGUAAUGGCCCACCAAGGCGACGAUCCGUAGCUGGUCUGAGAGGAUGAUCAGCCACGCUGGAACUGAGACACGGUCCAGACUCCUACGGGAGGCAGCAGUGGGGAAUAUUGGACAAUGGGCGCAAGCCUGAUCCAGCCAUACCGCGUGGGUGAAGAAGGCCUUCGGGUUGUAAAGCCCUUUUGUUGGGAAAGAAAUCUUUCAGGCUAAUACCCUGGGAGGAUGACGGUACCCAAAGAAUAAGCACCGGCUAACUUCGUG